rnacentral:rRNA from 1 species
UUAGAGUUUGAUCCUGGCUCAGAUUGAACGCUGGCGGCAGGCCUAACACAUGCAAGUCGAGCGGUAGCACAGAGAGCUUGCUCUCGGGUGACGAGCGGCGGACGGGUGAGUAAUGUCUGGGAAACUGCCUGAUGGAGGGGGAUAACUACUGGAAACGGUAGCUAAUACCGCAUAACGUCGCAAGACCAAAGUGGGGGACCUUCGGGCCUCAUGCCAUCAGAUGUGCCCAGAUGGGAUUAGCUGGUAGGUGGGGUAACGGCUCACCUAGGCGACGAUCCCUAGCUGGUCUGAGAGGAUGACCAGCCACACUGGAACUGAGACACGGUCCAGACUCCUACGGGAGGCAGCAGUGGGGAAUAUUGCACAAUGGGCGCAAGCCUGAUGCAGCCAUGCCGCGUGUGUGAAGAAGGCCUUCGGGUUGUAAAGCACUUUCAGCGGGGAGGAAGGCGGUGAGGUUAAUAACCUCAUCGAUUGACGUUACCCGCAGAAGAAGCACCGGCUAACUCCGUGCCAGCAGCCGCGGUAAUACGGAGGGUGCAAGCGUUAAUCGGAAUUACUGGGCGUAAAGCGCACGCAGGCGGUCUGUCAAGUCGGAUGUGAAAUCCCCGGGCUCAACCUGGGAACUGCAUUCGAAACUGGCAGGCUAGAGUCUUGUAGAGGGGGGUAGAAUUCCAGGUGUAGCGGUGAAAUGCGUAGAGAUCUGGAGGAAUACCGGUGGCGAAGGCGGCCCCCUGGACAAAGACUGACGCUCAGGUGCGAAAGCGUGGGGAGCAAACAGGAUUAGAUACCCUGGUAGUCCACGCUGUAAACGAUGUCGAUUUGGAGGUUGUGCCCUUGAGGCGUGGCUUCCGGAGCUAACGCGUUAAAUCGACCGCCUGGGGAGUACGGCCGCAAGGUUAAAACUCAAAUGAAUUGACGGGGGCCCGCACAAGCGGUGGAGCAUGUGGUUUAAUUCGAUGCAACGCGAAGAACCUUACCUGGUCUUGACAUCCACAGAACUUAGCAGAGAUGCUUUGGUGCCUUCGGGAACUGUGAGACAGGUGCUGCAUGGCUGUCGUCAGCUCGUGUUGUGAAAUGUUGGGUUAAGUCCCGCAACGAGCGCAACCCUUAUCCUUUGUUGCCAGCGGUCCGGCCGGGAACUCAAAGGAGACUGCCAGUGAUAAACUGGAGGAAGGUGGGGAUGACGUCAAGUCAUCAUGGCCCUUACGACCAGGGCUACACACGUGCUACAAUGGCAUAUACAAAGAGAAGCGACCUCGCGAGAGCAAGCGGACCUCAUAAAGUAUGUCGUAGUCCGGAUUGGAGUCUGCAACUCGACUCCAUGAAGUCGGAAUCGCUAGUAAUCGUAGAUCAGAAUGCUACGGUGAAUACGUUCCCGGGCCUUGUACACACCGCCCGUCACACCAUGGGAGUGGGUUGCAAAAGAAGUAGGUAGCUUAACCUUCGGGAGGGCGCUUACCACUUUGUGAUUCAUGACUGGGGUGAAGUCGUAACAAGGUAACCG